UCUGGUGGCCUCUGUCAGGAGGAAGGAAGGGAAGAGGCCUCAGAGGGUCUCAGUCCACUCAAGAAUGACAGGAAGCUGACGGCCAGCUCAGGAGAGGAUAGGGUCCCACGAGACUUGGGUUCAAGUGCUACUUGGCCUCCAACUCCCUGGGUGACCUUGGGCAAGAUCUUCAGUAGCAAGAUAAGAGCUUCACUCCCAUAGUGAGAGUUAUGAGCCUGAUGACCUGAGCUAUCAUGUGCUAUGGAAGAGAUCUAGAAGUAUCUACAUGUCUGUGGCAAGCAGAGAAGAUGGCCAAGAGUUAAGAAUUGUCAGGCCAACCCCAAGGUCACCAUGCUACCACCAACCACACGCUCUGAUUCAUGGUACUACUUGUGCCCAUGGACUGCUGAGUCACGGAACUACUCAUUCAAGGACUGCUGAGUCAUGGCUCUACUCACUAGGAUCUCUACUGCCUAUCAGGUUUCUCCUGAAUCAGCUUGUGUUGAGAGCCACAGCCAAAGGGGCCCCAGCAAACUUCCAGCUGCCAGCAAACUUCCAGCUGCUGGCUGAUGAUUGGCUCACAGCGGCCCCAGCAACAUCUAGCUGAUUGGCUCCUCUGCGGUGAUGCUCAUUGGACUGUUUCCCUGCCCUUUCAGACCACGGAGCUGCUCAUUGGGGGACUUUUUUGGCUCCGCCCACGUGACCCAGCCAAUCGGCCUCAAGAGCAGGAGGAUUGUGGGAGGUGGAGAGAAGCUUGUGUGGGAGAGAGAGGCUUGGGGAA